UAGGGAAUAUUGCACAAUGGAGGAAACUCUGAUGCAGCGACGCCGCGUGAGUGAUGAAGGCCUUCGGGUCGUAAAGCUCUGUCGCAGGGGAAUAACACAAUGAAUGUACCCUGUAAGAAAGGAUCGGCUAACUUCGUGCCAGCAGCCGCGGUAAGACGAGGGAUCCUAGCGUUGUUCGGAAUUAUUGGGCGUAAAGCGGAUGUAGGUGGCUUUGUAAGUCAGGUGUGAAAGCCUAGGGCUCAACCCUAGAAGUGCAUCUGAUACUGCGAAGCUUGAGUGUGGGAGAGGAUAGUAGAAUUCCUGGUGUAGUGGUGAAAUACGUAGAUAUCAGGAGGAAUACCGGAGGCGAAGGCGGCUAUCUGGCCCAACACUGACACUGAGAUCCGAAAGCGUGGGGAUCAAACA
rnacentral:rRNA from 1 species